CAACACGAUAUUUCCCCCUUUUACAGAGGAGGAAACUAAAGCUCAGAAACUGAAGCUUCAGAGGUGGUGAAACCAGAACAGGGAGCCGAGCGGUCAAAUUCCAAGAGGAAGAGACCCAUUUGCUGCCUUCAAAUCUCUGACGAGCCAUGAGGAACGGGGAAUGGCCAUCUUCUGUGGGGAUGACGGGUGGAAGAAGCAGCAAGCAGAUGGGUUACAGUGUAAGGAGGGACCAAUGUAAGGAUGAACUCUCCAGCUGUGGGACCUGCCUGGGGAUCUUACCAGCUGCUUUGUAAAGAGACUGGGAUGGAGUGGAGAGAAGAGGUCAAGAAGCAGCGAUGGUGGGCUGUGUGGUGGCCCGUGGACCACAGCCAGCUGAGAGUCUGAUGUGGGAAGGGUCUGCUGGAGCUCCACGCUCUGAGGGCCGAGUGCUCUGAGGCCAUCUUUAUCUGCUGUCCCCAAGAGGUAACCGGGGCAUUCCCAUUGAUUUGGGCGGCCAGCCAAAGACCUGCCUGGGCCUCAUGGGCAGCUGUCUCCUUUGCCACAGUGACCAGAAUGAGUUGUUCGGCCAGGUCAAGGCAAGCCCGGCCUCGGCCAUGGGUGUUGGUCAGCCACCUGUGUCCAAGAGACAGCUGGCCAAGCCACUGGCCAUCCCUCCUCUGCAGCUGGCCUGGAUUGUCCAUAUUGAAGAGGAGUUCUCUGAGGACAUCUGAGUAACUGAAAUCCGGAAUCUGGAGCUACAGGCGGAGUGAUUUGACAGUAGCAUCCCAACACUGUCCGCGGAACACCUCAAACUACAAAAUUGUCUGCUGCAGUUCCUUGAGGGUUAAGAGAAACCAGACCAUCCCCCUCGUCCAGAAAGUCUCCCAGGAGUGUGCUCAGUUGGUGAACAGAGGGUGGCAGCAUCCCUCCCCCACCAGCCCUCCUGGCCACCCACCUCCUGCUUGGUUUUUGGUUUUCCCCUGGAGGCAUUUCCUGCCAGCCUGGGGAGGUGUGGGCAUGAGCAGCCUUCAGGCUCAGCCCAGCCUGGCCCAUGUUCUUCUAGGAGUCCUGAGAGCUACUCCCACUCAUUCAUUCAUUAAUCAAUGCUUCCUGAGUACCCGUGCACCUGCAAACCUAAAACAGCAGAUAAUUCCCUCAUAGAAAAAUGGGCAAAGGAUAUGAACAGGUGAUUCCCAGACCUGGCCUUGCUACUUAUUUGCUGUGUAAAUUUGGGGAAGUAACUUAACCACUCUGUGCCUGUUUUCUUAUCUGUAAAAUUGUGAUAAUAAUGCUUCUAAUUCACUGGGUUACUGUGGAAAUUGAAUGAGAUAAUCCACAUGUUAUGAGUAGAAUUGUGUCCCCCACCAAAUUCACAUGUUGAAGCCCUAACCUCCCGGUACCUCAGAAAUUAUUUGGAGACAGGGACUAUAAGGGGUGAUGAUGUUCAAAUGAGGCCAUUGGCCCUAAUCCAAUAUGACUGGUGUCCUUGUAAGAAGAGGAAAAGACAAAAGAAAUGGGCACACAGAGAAAAGACCAUGUGAAGAGGUAGCAAAAGGGUGGCCAAGGAAAGAGGCCGAAGGAGAAAUGAACCCUGUGGGCACCCUGAUCUUGGCCGUCUAGCCUCCAGAACCCUGGGAAAAUAAAUGUCUGCGGUAUUUUGUUAUGGCAGCCCUAGCACACUAAUAUACCACCCAAAGCACUAGAACAGCAUCUGGCAUAUAGUAUAUACUCAAUAAAUACUAAUUACUGCCAUAAAUAUUAUUGUUUAUCUCAGCUGUAUACCCACCAUAUUAGUUUCCUACUGCUGCUGUAGAAAAUUACCCCCAAACGAACUGGCUUAAGAUAACA